rnacentral:rRNA from 1 species
AUUGAACGCUGGCGGCAUGCCUUACACAUGCAAGUCGAACGGCAGCAUGAUCUAGCUUGCUUGAUUGAUGGCGAGUGGCGAACGGGUGAGUAAUACAUCGGAACGUGCCCUGUAGUGGGGGAUAACUAGUCGAAAGAUUAGCUAAUACCGCAUACGACCUGAGGGUGAUAGUGGGGGACCGUAAGGCCUCAUGCUAUAGUAUUGGCCGAUGUCUGAUUAGCUAGUUAGUGAGGUAAAGGCUACACAAGGCGACGAUCAGUAGCUGGUCUGAGAGGACGAUCAGCCACACUGGGACAGAGACACGGCCCAGACUCCUACGGGAGGCAGCAGUGGGGAAUGUUAGACAAUGGGCGAAAGCCUAAUCCAGCAAUGCCGCGUGUGUGAAGAAGGCCUUCGGGUUGUAAAACACUUUUGUCCGGAAAGAAAUGGCUCUGGUUAAUACCUGGGGUCGAUGACGGUACCGGAAGAAUAAGGACCGGCUAACUACGUG